rnacentral:lncRNA from 1 species
AAGCAUAAUUACUUCCAUCGAAAAAUGGAGGUACAGACAGUGAUUGACUCAUCUAGACAACUAUGGGUCAGGACUCGAGAUUUGGCUCUGAUACCACUUGAAAAAGCUAUAGUUCGACCUAACCAACACCUAGAGGGGGGAUGAAUAGGUAUUUAUGCAAAAUUAAGGCAAUUAAUUAACUUAUGCAACAAGUCACAUAAAUUAUGCAUUGUCCAUAUUCAUUCACAUACUUUAUCUACCUAAGUUGAAUUACCGGUUGAAAAGUAAAUAACAAAAACCAGUAAAAACGCCACAAAAUGUUGACGGAGAAAACCCAACUGGGUAAAAACUCCGGGCACAAGCCAAUAGAGAUCCACUAUAGAAGAUAUUGACUUACAGUACGCCAGACAUUAUUGAUUCUAACAAUACUCUGAC